ensembl:misc_RNA Metazoa_SRP Metazoan signal recognition particle RNA
GCCAGGUGUAGUGGCAUGUGCCUGUAGUCUCAGCUACUCAGGAAGCUGAGAUGGGAGGAUCACUUGAGCCCAGGAGGUUGAGGCUGCAGUGAGCACUGUUUGUGCCACUGCACUCUAGCCUGGGCAACAGAGUGAGACCCUGUCUCAA